rnacentral:snoRNA from 1 species
ACUUUUGUCCAAAAAGUAUCAAAUCCACCUUAUAUGACAGUACGAAUUAAUAUUAUAACAAAAUUAUUUCCUGUAUAUUAUGUUCGUGAUUCCUGCGUGGAGAGAUUGAUUUUUAUUGACCAAAUAAAGAAUUCACAAGAGCUCAAAUGGAAAACAUAUGUUUCAUAUGCAAAUGAUAUUAGAGUGUCAGAGAAUUCAUACAUUU